ACUUGUCUCGCCCACUCACUACAAAAGAAGCAAUCACUGGAUAAAACGUGGAAUGUAUUAAAUCAUGAAUAUGAAAAAUUCAAGGAAUUCCACGAUUUCGCCCUCUCAGUUUUGAGUUUACCUCAUUCAACUAUUGAUUGUGAAUGAGUUUUUCAAAGAUAAAUCUCAUGACAACCAAACCAAAACCCGACUACAAACCAACAAAUUAAAUGGAGCACUUCUUGUCACAGAAUGUAUGAAAGGGUUCAGAAAACAACAGCCCAUGUGUAACUUUUCAAUCACCACAUGAAAUGUAGCAGAAAAUGACUUCGGUUACUCUGUAUUAAACGAAAAAAGGAAGAAGAAGAAGAAGAACAAGUGGACUUUGAAUCAUAGGUACAAAACGUGGUUGAAAUUUUGAUUCUAGUUCUCUUGCAAAACAGUUUUUUUCGUGUUGUGUAUAAUAGACUACAAAUACAAUUUUUUUUAGAAACGUA